GUGUCCGCGUUGUAAUCUCGAGACGUGUUUUCCGUGCGGCUCUAUGGACAAGUCCCUUGGAAUAGGGCAUCGUAGAGGGUGAGAAUCCCGUACUUGCCAUGGAAGAACCGUGCUUUGCGAUACACGCUCUAAGAGUCGAGUUGUUUGGGAUUGCAGCUCAAAAUGGGUGGUAGACUCCAUCUAAAGCUAAAUAUCGGGGAGAGACCGAUAGCGAACAAGUACCGUGAGGGAAAGAUGAAAAGCACUUUGGAAAGAGAGUUAAAAGUACGUGAAAUUGUCGAAAGGGAAGCACUUGAAGUCAGCCAUGCUGCUUGAGACUCAGCCUGGCCUUUGGGCUUGGUGUAUUUCUCGGUGGCAAGCCAGCAUUGGUUUGGGUCGUCGGAGAAGCGCAUAGGGAAUGUAGCGUUUCCGGACGUGUUAUAGCCUUAUGCAGGAUACGACGA
rnacentral:rRNA from 1 species